rnacentral:lncRNA from 1 species
CAGACAUUUAAGUUGCUUUUGCUUUUUCACUACCAUCAACAAUGUUUUGGUAAAUACACUUAUAAUUAAAUCUCUGCAUACAUCUCUGUUUCUUUAGGAUCUGUUCCAGAAGCAACUGCCGGAUCAAAGCAUGUGCGAACUCUUAAGGCUUCUGAUACAUAUUGCCAAAUUCCCCCUGGAAGGACUCACCAGCAGUGAAUGGGAGAACCUGUUCCCCAGGGUCCUGACCCGCCCAACUGUAAUCACACAACACAAAAGAAAGAGAGAAAUACUUAGAAGACAAAAUCCCAUAUUUGGGUGGAGCCUUGAAGCCUGGCCACGCGUCCAUAGGAGGAAACGUAUAAACAAAGUCUUGGAUGCAGAAAUUCUCAGGGUACAAAUGGGGCAGGUGGGGCUUAGAGUCUCUGAGACAUUAUGUGAAUGAAGGAUUUGAGGCGAGAGGGAGAAGCCAGAGUCAUACCUUGAAGCACUUCGAAUGUUAGGUAAGGAGUGUGGACUUCCCCUGAAGGCAACAGGUGACCAUGAGGCCAGUUCCAGGUUUUAGAACAAUCGUAUAGCUGUGAUGCAGAUUGUGGAGAACACCAGUAAAAGUGAGUGUUGGCCCGAUGUGAACAUGGAUGGGAGUAAACCAGCCCAGAGGUUCUUGGGUGGAUCUGGUGGGAAGCAACAAAGACUGAACUGAGGGGUUGGGGAGAGGAAAAUGGGGCUGUGAAGUAGGUUCAGUGUUCACUGGUUACCCACUUAUCUGAAUGCAGUGACAUAGAACAACCACACACAUGACAGGUUACAUGAAGCAGGGUUAUGACUUACAGAUAGGCAGCAAGGGACGACCGAAGCCUAAGCCUAGGACUCACUGAGAGCCGGUCCCCAGGCUCAGAAAGCUGUCCAGGGUGGAAGGAGUCUUGACUGCAUGUGCCCCACUUGCACCGCAGCCCACAGGCCCCAGAAAGCAGCCCAGCCUGGGUCUUAUACCCCAGGGAGACGGGAGUCACCAGACAAAAGCACUGAAGAACAUCCUGUUUCUAGGGGAGAAAACUGGAACAGAGCCCAGACUCUUCUGGCCAAUCCUUUCCCAUCUCAGGAUGUUACAUUCUCAGCACAUUCUACAGUUAUUCUUGAGAACCGUAAGUGAGAAAGGAAGGAG